AACCAACAGCGAGAUUCGAACUCACGACCCCUGUUUUACGAGACCAUUGCUCUAGCCUCUGAGCUAUGGCGGC
rnacentral:tRNA from 1 species